AACGCAAAUUGCGCUCUUGGGUAGCCCUAGGAGCACGCCUCUCUCAGUAUCGGUUCAACAACCUCUCAGCAGCGUACUGAAUUUAUUCGGUAUGUGUUAGCUGGAUAAUGAGAGUCUGACUUUCACGAGUCAGUCUCUUUAAAUACAUCGAGUGAGCCUUCAUAUUCUUUAACGCGUAUCUUCGGAUGCAAGCUAGUCUUCGACUGGUUGUUUGAGAGUGACGUGAAUACUGACCCUUGUGGUCUCUCAUUUACGUGUAACUUUUCGACAGCUACUAAGGUUGAUUACUAGUGUUUCAGAAAUAGAACGGUCUCAUGUUAAGCGGGUAACACUGCAAUCGGCUAUAGCAAUAUGGUCUGAAUUUUGAUCUGAGAUGAAGCGAGACAACCCCCUGAAUUUAA
rnacentral:misc_RNA from 1 species